CCAUCUCCAGUGGUGGGAGCAGCAGCCGAUCCUGCCGUGUCACUGGUCGCGUGUGUGUGUUUGUGUCACUGCAAGUCGAUAAAUUUCCCCCCGCAGAGCACGAAGAGGGGAGAAGAGAAGAAAAAAGGGAAUCGAUCCAAUCCAUCAUCCAUGAUCGAUUCAUCCCUUCCCUUCGCUUCCCGCAGCUCUCUACAUCUCUUCUCUUUUCCUUUUCGCAGGAAUAGCGGCAGGGGCUGCCGCGCAGCUGUUUGAUAAAAGAAAAGGAGAGGCAAAAGAAAGCGAGAGAGCAGAGCCUCAGGCCCAAUUAUUCCGAUCCCUCCUCAUCUCUUUCCUCCGAAAGCUUGAUUUCCGCCCCCCAGAUCCUCCCUCCCUUCUCUCCCUUUUUGUCCCUCCCCCCUCGACCCUUUCUUCCCCGCUCCAAUGGGAUUCGCUCACCGCCAUCGGAACCCAAGCUUGCCUCCGAUCUUCUUCUUACAAG
rnacentral:lncRNA from 1 species